rnacentral:ncRNA from 2 species
GUAUGUUCUCAGGGCGGGGUGUAAUUCCCCACCGGCGGUAAUCAUUGACAUGAAAGCCCGCGAGCGCCUUCCAAUAGGAAGGGUCAGCAGAUCCGGUUAAAUUCCGGAGCCGACGGUUAAAGUCCGGAUGAAAGAGAGCGGGA